GACGAACGCUGGCGGCGUGCCUAAUACAUGCAAGUCGAACGAACCGCGACUAAGUGCUUGCACUAAGUCAAGGUGAGUGGCGAACGGGUGAGUAACACGUGGGUAACCUACCCCAUAGUGGGGGAUAACAGUCGGAAACGACUGCUAAUACCGCAUAGGACAUGGAAUCACAUGAUUCCGUGAGGAAAGGUGGCGCAAGCUAUCGCUAAGAGAUGGACCCGCGGUGCAUUAGCUAGUUGGUAGGGUAAAGGCCUACCAAGGCGAUGAUGCAUAGCCGACCUGAGAGGGUGAUCGGCCACAUUGGGACUGAGACACGGCCCAAACUCCUACGGGAGGCAGCAGUAGGGAAUCUUCCGCAAUGGACGCAAGUCUGACGGAGCAACGCCGCGUGAGUGAAGAAGGUCUUCGGAUCGUAAAGCUCUGUUGUUAGAGAAGAACAGCGCAUAGAGUAACUGUUAUGCGUGUGACGGAUCUACCAGAAGCC
rnacentral:rRNA from 1 species